rfam:Pelomonas sp. Root1444 contig_18, whole genome shotgun sequence.
CGCGUUUUUGCCAAGGCGGAGCUCGACCGCCACAUCAAGAAGUGAGGCGCUUCAUCGACGUGCAGCGCGAGCACUUCGGGGUCGAGUUGAUCUGCAACGUACUGGAUGUCGCCCCG